rnacentral:rRNA from 1 species
AGAAUCAACGCUGGCGGCGUGCCUAACACAUGCAAGUCGCACGAGAAAGGGUAGCAAUACAUGAGUAAAGUGGCGCACGGGUGAGUAACACGUGAAUGAUCUACCUCCGAGUGGGGAAUAACUGAGAGAAAUCUUAGCUAAUACCGCAUAACACUUACGAGUCAAAGCAGCAAUGCGCUUGGAGAGGAGUUCGCGGCCGAUUAGUUAGUUGGCGGGGUAAUGGCCCACCAAGACGAUGAUCGGUA